UACGGAGGGGGGCUAGCGUUGUUCGGAAUUACUGGGCGUAAAGCGCACGUAGGCGGCUUUGUAAGUUAGAGGUGAAAGCCCAGGGCUUAACCCUGGAAUUGCCUUUAAGACUGCAUCGCUAGAAUUGUGGAGAGGUAAGUGGAAUUCCGAGUGUAGAGGUGAAAUUCGUAGAUAUUCGGAAGAACACCAGUGGCGAAGGCGACUUACUGGACACAUAUUUGACGCUGAGGUGCGAAAGCGUGGGGAGCAAACAGG
rnacentral:rRNA from 1 species